rnacentral:lncRNA from 11 species
UUAUUUUUAGGUAUGUGGAGUAGUAUUAUUUCAGUGACUGUGUAUAUUGGAACCGAGUCAGCAGCUCAGAAGAAUUCUGGGAUAGAUGGACUAAAGACAAGUUAAUAGAUGUUGAUGAAGAACCCAAUCUACCUACAAGACCAUAUGAGAUAAGAAGCCAUAUGUAUGUACCAGCGGGAACCUUUGCCACCAGACUCCGAGGGGCCUUGACAGAUCGUCUUUCUGUUGCCCAGUAUCACAAUUUCCUAAAAGGGUGUCAGCUGCACAACUGCUACUUGGAGAAUGAAUCUUUUCACAGAUGGAGAGCUACUGUGUUGGAUCAUUGUCCCAAUCAGCUCACAGAACAUGACGACUACUUGGGACUGGUAGAUGCUGGAUUUUUCAUCAAUACCAGCUGCCCACCACUUGUAAGGCCAGAGAGAAAUGUUGAUGUCAUUGUGCAUUUCAGUUACAGCUCAGGCUCCCAGACACAGCCUCUGGAACAAACUUGUAAGUACUACAAAUCGCAAGGAAUCCCAUACCCAGAUGUUAUCCUUACAGAUGAAGACAGAAAAAACUUGAAGGAAUGCUACUACUUCCAUCCAAGUGAUACUACUGGUUGUCCAAUCCUAAUCUUCUUUCCAUUAGUGAAUGAUACCUUUCGAUUUUACAGAGCUCCUGGUAUACAACGCUGUACCGAUGCUGAGAUGGAAGCAGGAAAAGUUGAUGUUUCCAGUUGGCAGACUCCAUACAAUACAUACUGCCUCCAAUACAGUGAUGAGAAUUUCGAUAAACUAGUAAACCUGAGUGAAUACAAUGUCUUGAAUAACCGAGACUUGAUUUUGCAGGCUUUGCAUGCAGCUGUGGAACGGAAAAGGCAUCAACAGCAACACUGCUGAACAAUUAAUUCCCUACUAUGUGCAAAUAUAUACCGUGUGUGUCUUGUGCUGUUGUUGUUUUCAGUCUUCAAAGUAAGCAGGCAAGCAAGGGAUGAAGCAAAAAUUGUCUAUAAAUAAUGGUUACUUAGUGGUGACUUUUAAAUGUUUGAGCAAGAGCACUAUUUUAGUUUUCAAUAGAAGGAGGGUAAGAGUCAUUUUAAACUGUAAAAGUUCAUUUUUGGCUGUAUUUAAUAUUAAAUUGCC